GCCCCCAUAACUCAAUUGGCAGAGUGACGGCCUUUUAAGCCGGCGGUUGGAGGUUCGACUCCUCCUGGGGGCACCU
rnacentral:tRNA from 1 species